UGCUCGUUUGGUGGAAUUGGUAGACACGUCAGACUUAAAAUCUGAUUCUUCUAUAAAGAGUAUCGGUUCAAGUCCGAUAACGAGUAA
rnacentral:tRNA from 1 species